rnacentral:pre_miRNA from 1 species
CAUAGCGUGAAUCUCGGCCCUCCAAAACAAAUCCAACGGCUGAGAUUCGUCCACGUCAUCACGAGUUAAAAUUUAACUCCCACUCUGGGAGUUAAAUUUUAACUCGUGAUGACAUGGACGAAUCUCAGCCGUUGGAUCUGGGAGUUAAAUUUUAACUCGUGAUGACGUGGACGAAUCUCAGCCGUUGGAUUUUUUUUGGAGGGCCGAGAUUCACGCUAUG